AGACGUCUACAUUAGAUACCCGGGUAGUCCCAGCCGUAAACUAUGCGCGUUAGGUGUAUCGGUGACCACGAGUCACCGAGGUGCCGAAGGGAAACCGUGAAACGUGCCGCCUGGGAAGUACGGUCGCAAGGCUGAAACUUAAAGGAAUUGGCGGGGAGCACCACAACAGGUGGAGCCUGCGGUUUAAUUGGACUCAACGCCGGGAAGCUCACCGGAUAGGACAGCAGAAUGAUUGCCGGGCUGAAGACCCUGCGUGACUAGCUG
rnacentral:rRNA from 1 species